AGUGAACGCUGGCGGUAGGCCUAACACAUGCAAGUCGAACGGCAGCACAGUAAGAGCUUGCUCUUACGGGUGGCGAGUGGCGGACGGGUGAGGAAUACAUCGGAAUCUACUUUUUCGUGGGGGAUAACGUAGGGAAACUUACGCUAAUACCGCAUACGGCCUACGGGUGAAAGCAGGGGAUCUUCGGACCUUGCGCGAUUGAAUGAGCCGAUAUCGGAUUAGCUAGUUGGCGGGGUAAAGGCCCACCAAGGCGACGAUCCGUAGCUGGUCUGAGAGGAUGAUCAGCCACACUGGAACUGAGACACGGUCCAGACUCCUACGGGAGGCAGCAGUGGGGAAUAUUGGACAAUGGGCGCAAGCCUGAUCCAGCCAUACCGCGUGGGUGAAGAAGGCCUUCGGGUUGUAAAGCCCUUUUGUUGGGAAAGAAAAGCAGCAGGUUAAUACCCCGCUGUUCUGACGGUACCCAAAGAAUAAGCACCGGCUAACUUCGUG
rnacentral:rRNA from 1 species